rnacentral:rRNA from 1 species
UACGCAGGCGGAAAAUUAAGUCAGUGGUGAAAUCCUGCAGCUUAACUGUAGAACUGUCAUUGAUACUGGUUUUCUUGAAUAUAGUUGAGGUAGGCGGAAUGUGUAAUGUAGCGGCGAAAUGCUUAGAUAUUACACAGAACACCGAUUGCGAAGGCAGCUUACUAAGCUAUGAUUGACGCUGAGGUACGAAAGCGUGGGGAGCGAACAGGAUUAGAUACCCUGGUAGUCC